UAGGGAAUCUUCGGCAAUGGACGAAAGUCUGACCGAGCAACGCCGCGUGUGUGAAGAAGGUUUUCGGAUCGUAAAACUCUGUUGUUAGAGAAGAACAAGGACGUUAGUAACUGAACGUCCCCUGACGGUAUCUAACCAGAAAGCCACGGCUAACUACGUGCCAGCAGCCGCGGUAAUACGUAGGUGGCAAGCGUUGUCCGGAUUUAUUCGGCGUAAAGCGUGCGCAGGCGGUUUCUUAAGUCUGAUGUGAAAGCCCCCGGCUCAACCGGGGAGGGUCAUUGGAAACUGGGGGACUUGAGUGCAGAAGAGUAGAGUGGAAUUCCAGGUGUAGCGGUGAAAGGCGUAGAUAGAUGGAGGAAAACCAGUGGCGAAGGCGGCUCUCUGGUCUGUAACUGACGCUGAGGCACGAAAGCGUGGGGAGCAAACAGG
rnacentral:rRNA from 1 species